CCCUUAGAUGUUCUGGGCCGCACACGCGCUACACUGAAGGAGGCAGCGUGUACUCCUGGAUCGAAAGAUUUGGGUAACCCGCGAAUCUCCUUCGUGCUAGGGAUUGAGGUUUGCAAUUAUCCUUCAUGAACGAGGAAUUCCCAGUAAGUGCAAGUCAUAAGCUUGCGCUGACUACGUCCCUGCCCUUUGUACACACCGCCCGUCGCUACUACCGAUUGAAUGAUUUAGUGAGGACUUCGGACUGGGACCGAUGCGGCUUUCGGGCUGCGUCGGUAUUCUGGAAAGAUGUCCAAACUGUAUCAUUUAGAGGAAGUAAAAGUCGCANCA
rnacentral:rRNA from 1 species